GUAAUGUCUGGGAAACUGCCUGAUGGAGGGGGAUAACUACUGGAAACGGUGGCUAAUACCGCAUAACGUCGCAAGACCAAAGAGGGGGACCUUCGGGCCUCUUGCCAUCAGAUGUGCCCAGAUGGGAUUAGCUAGUUGGUGAGGUAACGGCUCACCAAGGCGACGAUCCCUAGCUGGUCUGAGAGGAUGACCAGCCACACUGGAACUGAGACACGGUCCAGACUCCUACGGGAGGCAGCAGUGGGGAAUAUUGCACAAUGGGCGCAAGCCUGAUGCAGCCAUGCCGCGUGUAUGAAGAAGGCCUUCGGGUUGUAAAGUACUUUCAGCGGGGAGGAAGGUGUUGUGGUUAAUAACCGCAGCAAUUGACGUUACCCGCAGAAGAAGCACCGGCUAACUCCGUGCCAGCAGCCGCGGUAAUACGGAGGGUGCAAGCGUUAAUCGGAAUUACUGGGCGUAAAGCGCACGCAGGCGGUCUGUCAAGUCGGAUGUGAAAUCCCCGGGCUCAACCUGGG
rnacentral:rRNA from 1 species